UACGUAGGGGGCAAGCGUUGUCCGGAUUUACUGGGCGUAAAGAGCGUGUAGGCGGCCAAGCAGGUCCGUUGUGAAAACUGGAGGCUUAACCUCCAGACGUCGACGGAAACCGCGUGGCUAGAGUCCGGAAGAGGAGAGUGGAAUUCCAGGUGUAGCGGUGAAAUGCGUAGAUAUCUGGAGGAACACCGACGGCGAAGGCAGCACUCUGGGCCGGUACUGACGCUGAGGAGCGAAAGCAUGGGGAGCGAACAGG
rnacentral:rRNA from 1 species